CCUACGGGAGGCUGCAGUCAGGAAUAUUGGGCAAUGGGCGAAAGCCUGACCCAGCGAUGCCGCGUGUGUGAAGAAGGCCCUAGGGUUGUAAAGCACUUUCAGUCGUGAAGAAAAGCGUUGGGUUAAUACCCCAGCGUACUGACGUUAACGACAGAAGAAGUACCGGCUAACUCCGUGCCAGCAGCCGCGGUAAUACGGAGGGUACGAACGUUAAUCGGAAUUACUGGGCGUAAAGCGCGCGUAGGCGGUUUGAUAAGUGGGAUGUGAAAGCCCCGGGCUCAACCUGGGAACUGCAUUCCAAACUGUCAGACUAGAGUGUGGUAGAGGGAGGUAGAAUUUCCUGUGUAGCGGUGAAAUGCGUAGAUAUAGGAAGGAAUACCGAUGGCGAAGGCAGCCUCCUGGACCAACACUGACGCUGAGGUGCGAAAGCGUGGGGAGCA
rnacentral:rRNA from 1 species